UGGUACUAUCCCACACCUCCUGUAAGCCCACCCCAGAACUAGGCCAAUAAAAGGAAAUCACCUGGGAGUUCUCAACGUCUUUCUCCACUUGUGAAGACUGACCCGUUCCUGUCUCUGGAACGUAUUUUCACUAGAGCUACAGCAACAAAUUUAAGGCCAAACUAAACAAUGUAUUCCCAAGAGCUGCAUGUCUUCGAUUGUCCUCAAAUGUCAGUUGGAAUCUGGGACAACACCUAGAGGCUGUGCCUGGAGAUUAAUUAAGCCAUUUGUGGAGCUCUCUUCAAAUGAAAUCCUAUCUUUUCUGACAUCCUAUAUUUUUCAGCUUAAUUUUAAAAUUUCCUAUAUAAAAAUGCCUUCCC